GGGAGAGCCCCCCUCCGCCCGAAGAGGACUUCCAUUCACGGAUAUUUUCUGAAAUGAAUGAUGAGCUCAACCCGGAGAAGCCGCUGCUGCAGGACGAGGUGAACGAAUCGAACUAAAGCCGGCCCGAUAUUUCCUACAGAUCCUACAGAAUGGAGCCGCGUUCGCGUAUUUCAUGAAGCUCCGUUUUAACCCCUUCCCCUCCGCCCUCGUUUCUCCCGGGUUAUUUGAGUUAUUGCGGGGAGCCCGGCGUUCCGAUAUUAAAACGGUU